AGAUGUGAGGGCAGUCUGGCUGCAACCCCUGUCACCCACUGAUGACCAGGUUGAUUGAGCUGACCCGGCUGGCCUGGUGAUUGUCCACUUCCUCCUCAAUGCUCCAUGUUCAUCCCUACCAAAGCUGCACCCUGGCUGAAGAGGGUGAUCUUCCCCAUGGAGAUGGUGCUGUUCAUUGGUCAGGGGUAUACAGUAGCCCUGCCCCCUGCUAGAAGCAACCGCCAAACAAGCUCAAGGUUUAUUAUUUAUGUUGUAAGUGCAGUUUCUCUAAUGAUUUUGCAGUGACCUGCCAAAGAUCUAAAGAAAAUAUUUU
rnacentral:snRNA from 1 species